rnacentral:lncRNA from 1 species
AAUCGGGUCUGUGUCCAAUCGGGAAAUACUGUGUCCAAUCGCUUAUGUGCGCAAUCGGGCCUCACUCCUCCCCCACUCUCGUGGUUGCAGCCAAUCACCGAGAUGUACUUUUGGGUGGAGAUGGUGCGUUGGAGUUGCCCCUCUGGACUUGGCGUCGUUUUCCAUGUUCGUAACGCAUUGCACUUAAAAGUGCAGUUGUUUGCACUUAGGUGUAAUAACUUAAACUAUGUAAAUUUAUGUAAAUGACAUGGAAACUUAUUUUACCUAUCUUAAAGGAUUUUUUACGCAAUAUUAAUAAUAGAAAAUACAUAUUUUUUAAAGAAUAGUGAACUAAAGACUAAAAGCAUAAGAAAUUAAAAAAGAAAUAUUUAGGUGUAGUAUUAUCGUCGUUAUUAAGGAUAGGUGAUGAAUUACGAGCUCUUUCUCCGACUCGUACAUAACGGAAUAACUUAUAUGAAAGUCUCUUUAUUGAACAGACCUAUGCCUAUAUAAUAUCAUGCAAACGCAAUAAAAGGUAAUUAAUGUGUGCUUUCCAGCAAGACACAGUGUAACACAGUGUCCAUUAGUGUGAAAAAGAACAUGUCAGUGUGUCUCGCUCACACUAGUGGACACAGUGUAACACAGUGUUCAUUAGUGUGAGAAAGUACAUGUCAGUGUGUCUCGCUCACACUAGUGGACACAGUGUAACACAGUGUUCAUUAGUGUGAGAAAGUACAUGUCAGUGUGUCUCGCUUACAUUAGUGGACACUGUGUCUUGCUGGAAAGCACACAAUGUAAUAUUGACGUUGUUAACUGAAAAUAAACAUGACCGGUUUUCUAACCUUAAAAGAACUUUUGUCGCGUAGCCCAUUUUAGUGCGGCGCUUAUAAAUAGAUACUUAUUUAAGCUAUUAUUUAACAAAAUAAAAGAUAUCCACACCAUUCUACGUAGGCAAAAAUAACAAUGACUAGCAAACUUAAAAAUCGGACUAAAAUCGUAAUAAAAUAGAAAAAUCUUUUCGCGAAAACGCGGUGUCACGAUGCGCUGCCACUGUCACUGUGUGCCCGCCUCUGUCUGCGCCGGGUCCUGCGAUCUCUCCAGACGGAUGGUCAGCACACUCUUGACGUCGACCCUCCUGGUUUCGAUCUUCGUGGCCGUGUACCUUCUCAGACUCGCUGGUUUCUCCGCCUUGUCCCCGGAUGGUGCGGUGGUUGUUUCGUCCCUAGAGGGCGGUCUCAAGGUUAGGGUUAAGUCAGUGGUUUAGAUCUAGUCACGUGGACUCAGGCCCGCGUCUACGAGCGGACACUACAGAUUCGGGAAGUGGGCGGGACGAUGACGGACAGGGUCCGUCGCCUGCUGAGGCUCCAGGCCCGGCGGUCCUUAAUCGAGGAGUGGCGCGCCUGUGCAGUCCAGGCUACAGUGGUGCAAGUUUUGGGCCGCUAGCACUUCGGGUGCUCCGCCGAGCACCCGAGUCGGAUGCUCGGCGGUGUUCGGCGAAACACCCGAGGUGCUAGCGGCUUGCACCACUGGGUUAAGUAAGAUUAAUUAAUCUUAACUUGCAUUGUUUCAAUUAUAGGAAUAAAUUAUUUCUAUAAAGUUGAUAUGAAAAUCGUAUAUUCUGUACUAAAAAUUUUUACACUAUUAUAUAAUAACAAUUUACCUUAUGUAAUAAAUGAAUUUUAUUAUGCUGUCUGUUGUAUGACACACAUGCGUAUAUUUUUCCACUAUUAACCAAGUCGUACAAUGGUGAAAGAUUUAAAGUGUAUCUUCAUUGUUAUUCAUGAAAACAAAUUAUAAAACUAGCCAAUAAAAGUUUACGUGAAAAAUUUCACGUUUGACGAAUUUGCAAUAGAAAAACAAUGUUUAUGUAAUAGACAGUUAAACCAACGGCAGACAAUACGUUUUUUAAAAUUAAAUUACGUGUAAAUUAAUACAUUAUGAAUUUUGUACCAUGCAAAAUGAAAUAUUUUUUCACUUUUCACGUAAUCAUUUUCAUAUAAAAUUCGUUACGUGUAAAGUGAAAAAUAAAAAUGUUUAAUGAUCGCUGCUCUGAUUUCGCCACCAAAAGUGAGGCAAAAAUCUGUUAGAAAUGUAGCAUCAAAUGGUGGCGCUGGGUAUUAUUACAAUAAUUUACAAUUGAAAACAAUAUAGAGUAUAUCAACAAACGGUUAAUUUAAAGCAAUUUCAUAUUGUGGCGUUAUAUGUAAAUUAUCGAAAUAUGACACUAAAUGGGGUCUUUUGUCAAGCGUUUUGUGACGAAAAUUUAUUUUCUUUCAUGUCCUUUCAAUAACGGCUAUUUUUCUAACAUAUACUAACAUAUAACAUAUAAAACAAAACUGAAUUUGCUCAGCUUCAAAAACAAAAGCGGGAUAAGAUAUUUUAAACUCCUCGGGUACUUUAAUCCAAUCAGCAGUAAAUUAAUAAUCAAGUAGUGCUUUUUCUUCGUUUUUUAAUAAGAAAAAUAAUGUAUAUAUAAGCAUGGUUUUCUCAGAAAAAUAUUGAAAAAUUCACUUAAAUUUGUUCACUUAAAAAAUUCACUUAAGAAAAAUAAUUUUCUUAAGAAUUGCUUGAAACUUGGAGGAUACCUUGAAUGCAAUGAAAUCUAUACUUGAUUACAACUUUAGAAAGAUGACACGUACAGAAAUUAAGAUAAUUAAUUUCGAAAUUCGAUCCUUACCCAGAUAACACAGAGAUUAACAGAAAUUCCUAAAGAAGUCAUUUUAAUAAAUACUUGGAGAAGUAAAAAAAUGAAUACAUAAAGAAUUCUUGAGGAAUUAGCCACAAUGAGUUUACAUUAAAGUAUUCCUUAAGAGUUCAUUGUAAUGAAUACCUCGCGAUUUAUUAUUUGGAACAUUUAGAGUAUUCAUAGAGAAGUCAUUUUAAAGAAUACUUGGCGAAGUAAAAAAAUGAAUACAUAAAGAACUCUUGAAGAAUUAGCAACAAUGAGUUCACAUUGAAGUAUUCCUUAAGAGUUCAUUGCAAUGAAUACCUUAUAUCGCGAUUUAUUAUUUGGAAUACUUUGAGUAUUUAUCAGAAAUUACUCGAGUGUUUGGAUAAUCUCAAUUACAUUUUUAUAAUUAUAUAUCGCUUAAUAAAUGCCAAUUUAUACUUUUAUAUACGAAAUGCGCUAUAUAUAAUUAACAAAACAAUUAAUAUAAAACUUAAAAGAGCGUGCUGAUCUGCAACUACAGAGUGUCGCGUUCCGCAUGAUGCAGCAUUUUCCUCGUUUGUGUUAACUAUACAUAUGUUUCAUCCUUCUGACAACAUCUAUUGUAAUAAUCUAUAACAAAUAUGUAUGCAUAAACAAGAAGUGUUCAUGGAUCAUCACGGGGCGUUAGGAUGCGUACGGUCUUCGAAGUCAAGCAACGUUGGCGAUGGUUAAUACUUGGAUGGGUGACCGUUUUUUCAAGUGCAGAAAUUAAACAUGCUUUAACAGGUACGACUAAGGCUUGGUUGAAACAUGGUAUAAUCUUCCUCUUACAAAAUUAAUCAAAAUUUUUUAUUUUUUAAAUUUUUCUGAGAAACGUCCUAAUAUUAUAAAAAUCGAAACAUUUAUCAGAAAUCUUGAAAAUGAAUUUUUUAAUUGCGUUUGAGAUAUCUACUUGAAGAAGUCCUAAUGAAUACUUUAAGAAGUUCUGAGGAAUUCCAACAAGUAAUUCUAUAUGAAUACUUUAAGAAGUUCUGAGAAAUUCUAACAAGUAAUUCUAUAUGAAUACUUUAAGAAGUCCUGAGGAAUUCGAAUCAUGGUGCAUGUAACUUCCUACGUUAUUCUUAAAGUAUUCUUCUAUGAAUUCCUCAGGAAUUACUGUUCAGAAAGGAAGACUAUUUUAUGAAUUCUCUAAGAAGACACUGUGUUAUCUGGGUAUACAUGUAAGCGUCAUACCAAACUACUGAAAAACAUUUUUUA